AAUAGAUAAUGUAUUAAUCGAUUACUUAAAGGAUAUUUGAAGGUCAAUCUUGACGGUUAUUCACUAAAAGAAUAUAUGCGGGUGAAAUUUAUGUUUGAUUACUGUUUGGUGGACCAACUGUUUCACAAUAUUUAGAAUAGUUUAGCCGUUAAGUUUUUGUAAUGGAAUAUAUUGACAAGAUUGAGAUUAUAGGAAAGUGCGGCUACAUUUUUAUUGCUGAACAGAACUAUCAACAUAUACCCUGCAGUGAUAAGAAGUAUUUUACACUUCAAGAACAUUUUAAUUUUUAUAACUAAUUAUAGUUAAGAAAGGAAGACAACUCCGGAUUAUAAAUUUUUUAAAAAUUAAUUAAAAAUAGAAAUAUUUAAUAGAAUUAAUUGCAGUGGUUUAAGAUUGAAAGAAAUUCAUGUUUUUAAAUUGAUGGCUAUUAUUGGAUUUAUAUGAUUUAUAUUUGGUAUUGUGAACUAAGAUACUGCAUUCUUAAAUAUUGGUUUUAAAUUUUGGCACACGACCAACAAUCUCAAGGGAGAGGUAAGUCAAUAACAUUGACCCCAGUGUUCAAUUGGUACUUUACUUUAACGAUCCCCAAAGGAUGAAAGACAAAGUUGACUUCGGCAGCAUUGGAACUCAUAACGUAAAGACGGACAGAAUGUCGAUAAGUAUUUUGUCAACGAUUCUACUAAUUUGGCGCCUUACUACUUUCUUAAAUAUUGAGAGAGAAGGCUCGAAUUACUGAUAUGGAAGUCAGUCAUCGAUAACAAGUUGGAGUCAAGUCAUGCUGAGGCACCACUUUGAAGGGAUUAGUCGAAGAAAUCGAUCUCAUCACUUAUAUUCUACCAGCCUCUUUAGCCGAACCGCUCAAGUAGAGGGACGCAAGUGAACCAAGACCGAUUUUGAAACAAUAGUGGGGGACAAACAGCUACGCUCACAUUUUGGAAUGGAGUUUCUUCUUUACUUCGUUCUCUCUAUAAUUGUCUUAAUAUGACAUGGCAACCAAGGACACGGUUUCAAGAUAGCCACGACAAAUAUUCCC
rnacentral:lncRNA from 1 species